rnacentral:rRNA from 1 species
AACGAACGCUGGCGGCGUGCCUAACACAUGCAAGUCGAGCGCGAAAGGAGCAAUCCGAGUAGAGCGGCGCACGGGUGCGUAACACGUGGGUAAUCUGCCUUAGAGUCAGGGAUAACUUUCCGAAAGGUUAGCUAAUACCUGGUAAGCUUACGGUGUCUUCGGACGCUGUGGGAAAAGUAGGCCUCUAUUUAUAAGCUUACGCUCUGAGAUGAGCCCGCGGCCCAUCAGCUAGUUGGCGGGGUAACGGCCCACCAAGGCAACGACGGGUAGCUGGUCUGAGAGGACGAUCAGCCACACUGGAACUGAGACACGGUCCAGACUCCUACGGGAGGCAGCAGUGGGGAAUUUUCCACAAUGGGCGAAAGCCUGAUGGAGCAACGCCGCGUGUGUGAUGAAGGUUUUCGGAUCGUAAAGCACUUUCGACCGGGACGAAAAACCUCUGGCUAACAUCCAGGGGCCUGACGGUACCGGGAGAAGAAGCACCGGCUAACUCUGUGCCAGCAGCCGCCGUAACAC